CGCGUAGGCGGUGGAAUCAGUCAGAUGUGAAAUUCUGGGGCUCACCCCCAGACCUGCAUUUGAAACAGUUUCACUAGAGGGUAGGCGGAGAAAACGGAAUUCCACAAGUAGCGGUGAAAUGCGUAGAUAUGUGGAAGAACACCGGUGGCGAAGGCGGUUUUCUAGCUUACUCCUGACGCCGAGGCGCGAAAGCAAGGGGAGCGAACA
rnacentral:rRNA from 1 species